AAAACCCAACACCAACUUUAUAAUCGUUAUACGUUAUCUUUAAGCCAGGAAAUAGCCUCCUCCGGCACUGCAAGCUUUUAAGUGAGAGAAAACAAAUACGGAAAGAAAAGAGAACGGAAGGCGAUGGAUCGACUGAAGCUGCCAAGGGGAGUUCAAAUCCAAGCUUCAGAGGGCCAAAAGAUUUCAGAAGCUAACAACACCGGUGGGGAACUGAAGCCGUUCAUGGGGGUGAAGGUCCGGCGAAGAGCCUCCCUCCGGCGAGACUGUAAAGGAGAUUACCUCGACGUCCCCUCCGAUCCUUGCCUCUCUUCCAUCUUAUCCAAGCGAGGUGAUCAGAAAGUUCUGUUUGCUGACAAAGUUUUGAAGUUUACGGGAUCUGGAAAAAUAAAGCAACGCAUAAUCUUGAUCACAGAGUGCGCAAUCUAUCUGGUUGAUCCAGAUGCUGAUGUGUUGAAACGGCGUAUAGCACUGGCAGCUGUUCAUAUGAUAUGCCUGAGCAAGCUGAGUGAUAAUUUUUUCGCAAUCAUUGUUCCUAGUGAAUAUGACUGCCUUAUGGCCAGCGCAAGGAAAACAGAAAUUGUUACUGUGCUUGUUGAAGCUACCAAGGGCAGACCUGAAUAUGAGGUUGGGGUGGUUUUCUCAAAUAGGUUUGAGUACCAUGCUUCUGCUAACCUGGUGAAGGAAGUUCAUUUUGAGGAGACAGAAGGUACUUUUUGCAUUAUCGCUAUCUUUUGGAAGUGGAUUAGGUUAUAGAGGCAAUGCAUGCGACUUGUACUGCAACUUUCCUACUGAAGCCCAUCCAUGGGCUUAAAGGCAAGCAAGGUAUGUUGCCCCGUAGUCUACAGUAUUCAGAAGAGGCGUCAGACACUCAGCUUUGGUUGGUCAGGGUUGGUUCAUCCAAGCUCCUCCUGAUCAAGUCAUGUGUAUCCCUUAAAUAAUCAGCAUAGUGAUGUCUCCUGUAUAUGAUAACGUUCCAAUCAAGCUGCUUUCUGUAUUCAUGCUUCCAUAUGCUGCUAACAUGAGGCAUUAAGACAAGGAUUGCAAAGAAGACAAGUUGAAAUCUGGAUUUGGUUUGCACAGUGAAAGCAGCUUCUGUACAGUCAGAAGUUUCUCAAAAACUUUUAAGUUUGGAGGGUGAGGAUUCUUCGGAGGAGCCAGAUGAGGAAUAGCCAGACAAAUCUCGAAUCCAGGGCCAAGAAACGAUCAUGGAGGGACAAAUUAGAACAAGAGGCUCUGAAAAUAAAGAACCAGUGUUGGGUGAAUAGGGUUGUACAGUCAUUGUGGCAUUGUAUGGUCUUCCAAUAACAAUUUUCUGGCAGCUUCAAUCAUCCACAGAACCUUUGUUCCAGCAAUUAAUUCAAGCAUUUGUGAAAUGACAAGGA